GACGGAGGAUGCAAGCGUUAUCCGGAAUUCUUGGGCGUAAAGCGUCCGCAGGUGGCUGUUCAAGUCUGCUGUCAAAGCGCAGAGCUUAACUCUGUACAGGCGGUGGAAACUGAAGAGCUAGAGUAUGGUAGGGGUAGAGGGAAUUCCCGGUGUAGCGGUGAAAUGCGUAGAUAUCGGGAAGAACACCAGUGGCGAAAGCGCUCUACUGGGCCAUAACUGACACUGAGGGACGAAAGCUAGGGGAGCGAAAGGG
rnacentral:rRNA from 1 species